rnacentral:lncRNA from 10 species
GCGCAUGGCAGGAUAAAGCAGGGUCCUCCUUUCCCUUGCCACCCUGGGUGCUGCUCCUCAGCCCAGGCUCAUCUUCAGAUGGCCCCAUGUGACCCCCGCACAGGGCAACUCAGCCAGGCUGCAGGAAAAAGGAGGCACUGCCUCUUGUGCUCUCAGGCUAGGGUUGGUGCAGUGUUUACCCACGAGGUGUUCUGAUUGCUGUGUUCAAGUCAAGAACCACUCCGUGACCUGGGGAAAUAGGUUCUGUUUUUUUGUUUUCUGUUUUUUUUUUGUUUUUGUUUUUGUUUUUUUUUGAGACAGAGGCUCCCUCUGUCACCCAGGCUGGAGUGCGGUGGCACGAUCUUGGCUCACUGCAAGCUCCGCCUCCCGGGUUCACACCAUUCUCC